UUUUAAGAAAUAAAACACUGGAACUGUCUGAAGACAUCAGCUUCUCUUUCUUGACAGUGGUAAGGAUAUUCAUGAUCUUACUUAAUAACAAAUCUAUGUGUGGCCAAAUAAUAAUAAUUGAUGUUGAACCUGUUAUCUCUCUAAACAAGUAAGUAAAAAUGAGUAAUUGUGCCUUUUUCAUGGACAUAAAAAGAACAACAGUGAAGCCACCAGAUCACCACCGUUCUCCACAUCAUCAUGGGAGUCAUGACUGUGUCUGUUCUCUGCAUCCUCAUCUUCCUGGUGACUGGGGGUUCUGCAAUUUCAGGCCAGAAUUAUUGUAAAUAUGGGUUUUCUCGACCAACCUCUUCCUGGCAGAUUUGCUACCUUGCGGUCUCAGAGUUAAAAUCUUGGGCUAGCGCACAGGAGCUAUGUCGUCAAAAAGGUGGAUACCUAGCUUCUAUUGAGAACAACGAUCAGUUAGAAUAUGCUUAUGAGAUUACACCAGACGGAUAUUCCUGGGUUAACGGGAAUUCUCUGUCCGAAUUUAUCCAGGAGAACUGGGUGCCGGGUGAUGAGCCAGGUUGGACAAAUGGUCACUGCUUGACAUUGGUGAACACCUAUGAUGGAAAAGGCUUUAGGGCAAUUAGUUGUUUAGAAACAGAAAACACUGCCAACGUUCUCUGCGAGGCCGAUGUUAUCUACUGAAGAGUCCACUCAGAGAACGCAAAGGGAUCUUGUUUUUGUACUAUCGCAUGCACACUUUUACUUUAAGUAAAAAUACCAAAAGAAAAUACAUUUGAUGUAUUCAAUGGCUACCCACAUUAUUUAAUCAGUUGUGACUGUUUUACUUUUUCUUUUUUCACAAUGGAAGUCCCUGUAAAAUAUAAUAAAUGACUUUAUUUUUCUUUCUUUUUAAAAAUAUUUUAAUAUUUCUACACUAUGAAGUACACACUGAAAUUGUGAACAUUAUAAUAAUUUCCCGUUUGAGUAAAAGCAGUUUGACAAAGAUGCAUGGAAUUGGGGAUUGGGGAUUUAUUAGCCAUGUACGGAUUAUUUAAAAAAAUACUAUUACAAAGAAUGCAUGUUUGUUUUGACACAAUACCAUUAUUGUGUUAACAGUAAAUUGUUAUUCAGAACAUUUAAUUAGUAUGUUGUAAAUUGUGUCUUGUUCAUUCAUCAUUGCUUUCUUGCCUCUUUUUCAAUAAAGACUUUCUGAAAUUAUUAAACUCUUGGGUUUUUCCAGAUUUUUUUGUGUGUCACAAAGCAAAGUUGGUAGAGUCUUAUUCAAAUAGACUAAUGGCUCUAAUUGCGGCCAUUGAUGUUUACCAAAUAUUGACUAAAGGGGGUGAAUACUUAUGCAAUCAAUUAAUUUAUGUUUUGUAUUUGUAAAUCCUUUUGUCAUUUUAUUUCACACUUUAAUAUAAUGGAUUUCUUUGUGUUGAUCAGUGACAAAACACUCUAAUUAAUCCUGAUUUCAUGUUAUAAUCUAAUAAAAUGUGUGUGGUCCAAUGCUUUUGAGAGUCACUGCCCAUACAAAUACUGCACAUUUGUUAUUCUAACAUUGUUUUGAAUUUGAGGAAAUGUAAUUAACAAACUAUUAAAAUGUACAAGAAAAAGGCAACAACAAUACAACUUCAAUAUGUUUGUCUAAUAGUUUUGUAGUUGGUCUUAAAUAUGUUUUCAUGGACAUAUUGAAGCAAUUCUAAUUAUUUUCAAAUGAUUGUACUGACCAUCUCACUGUUAUAUUUGGAAUGUCAGCAGCAGUUCAAAAAAUACAUGUAAAGAUGAGGACGGGUUCACCACUCUGUCAAAGAUUACACAGGCA
ensembl:lncRNA